rnacentral:tRNA from 1 species
GGAGAGAUGACCGAGGGGCCGAAGGUGCACGACUGGAAAUCGUGUGUACGGGUAAUCCCUGUACCGAGGGUUCAAAUCCCUCUCUCUCCG